GAUUCCUCGGGGCCUUUGAGUCUCUGACAGGUUCUCGUUCCCAUGCAGCAGGAGGACGUCACGGCCAAAGCGAUGCACCAGCUCCGCAUCAUCCGGCACUUGCCCCAAGUGCCUGAGGCACUGCAGGGGCUGUGCCUCUGAGGCCAUCAGCAACUCCCGCUCCCUGCUGCAGGGCUGAUCAUCCAUGAGGCCGAAGACCUGUGGUGCUGGGACUGGCACCAGGACAGCAGGCUCCUGGGCUACAGGAACACAGCUAGAGUGGGAGAGGUCUUCGGAAAGUUCUUCUGGGAAGGGCAGAGAAGACUCUUCCUCCGGACAGCAGUGCUGGCCAUCCACAACCCCCUGCUGCAUGUCCAGGGGCGGCUCUAGGCACCAGCAAAGGAAGCACGUGCUUGGGGCAGCCCAUUUGCAGGAGCGGCAGGGAUCCAGCAUGGGAGCUGAGAUCCAACAGUGGCCCCUGGGAGCUCUACUUCGUUGGUUAGCUCCCUGUCUAUAGAGCCAGCCCUGGAGCAGGGAAAGAACUACAUUUCCCAGCAUUCCCUUGGCCACUACCAACAGGAAAGAGGGGGAGGGAGUGAGGAAGCUGAGACCUCAUGCUGUAGCCUGCUGUGAAU